rnacentral:rRNA from 1 species
UACGUAGAAGACUAGUGUUAUUCAUCUUUAGGUAGGUUUAAAAGGGUACCUAGGACGGUAUAAUUAGUGCUUAAAUAGGAUACGGUUAUACUAGAGUUAUAUACGAGGAGGUGAGUAUUUGAUGGAGUAGAGUUGAAAUUCUUUGAUACCAUAACGACUGAUAACGGCGAAAGCAAGCCUUUUAUCUAAUAACUGACGUUGAGGGACGAAGGCUCGGGUAACGAACAGG